rnacentral:rRNA from 1 species
UACGGAGGGGGCUAGCGUUGUUCGGAAUUACUGGGCGUAAAGCGCGCGUAGGCGGACCUGCAAGUCGGGGGUGAAAGCCCGAGGCUCAACCUCGGAACUGCCUUCGAUACUGCGGGUCUCGAGUCCGGGAGAGGAGAGUGGAAUUCCUGGUGUAGCGGUGAAAUGCGCAGAUAUCAGGAAGAACACCCGUGGCGAAAGCGGCUCUCUGGAACGGUACUGACGCUGAGACGCGAAAGCGUGGGGAGCGAACAGG